GGAUGAGCCCGCGGCCUAUCAGCUAGUUGGUGGGGUAACGGCCUACCAAGGCUUCGACGGGUAGCUGGUCUGAGAGGACGACCAGCCACACUGGGACUGAGACACGGCCCAGACUCCUACGGGAGGCAGCAGUGGGGAAUAUUGGUCAAUGGACGAAAGUCUGAACCAGCCAUGCCGCGUGCAGGAUGAAGGCCCUCGGGUUGUAAACCGCUUUCAGUGGGGACGAACCAAGACGGUACCCACAGAAGAAGCCCCGGCCAACUACGUGCCAGCAGCCGCGGCCG
rnacentral:rRNA from 1 species